GCCGGGCCCGUGCCGCUGUCGGUGCCGGCCCUGCGGGACUCAGGCUCGGUGCUGCGGGGCUCCAGGGACGUGUCGGUGUCGGUGUCGGUGCAGCUCGGUUCCCCUCGCCCCCGGCUCCCUCUCGGCGCUCAGCAUGUCCCAGGCGCAGCUGCAGAGAGCAAUAAGGUUUCCCCUGAGAUUGUUUUCUCCAGCUUUCUCUUCUCCACUCCUGCCUCCACACAUUGGCAGCCAGAUACGAGUGAAAACUCCACUGCUUUCCAGCCAGGCAGCUCCUUGGUUCAAGAGAGGAAGCACUUACAUCCAGAUAUGGGCAGACACCCAGAGAGAGCUGGACACCAUGCUCCAGAGAGAGAGAGAGGAGUUCCUCCAGCCCGAGGAGGACCCCGAGAAAGCGAUGAAGAUGUUGGCCACUGCCUACGUCCAAUACCUGGACAUCUUGCGGAAGCUGGAGGAGGCCCACGACCAUCUCAUCCACCAGCAGAAGCGGGCGGCGGUUCGGCAGGCACUGGACGGGGUCAUGGGCCGCAUCCUGGAGAUCAAGAGGGAGAUGGUGGCCCUGGAGAACUCCGAGUGCCACUCCAUGGCUGGCGUCCUGACGGAGCUGCAGCGUGUCCCGGAAGACAUAGAAAUACCCAUCCCAAAGUAUUUCAUUAAAGAAAACCUGGGAAUCCUGCAGGACAGGGAGAAAUACCUGCAGGAGAUUUUGCUGAAUGCUGGUUUGCUAGAACAGGAGCCUGUCACAGGGAUGACACUUGAGGAGGGCAUUAGAGUGAUCCAGGUGGCAGAACGGGCUCGCCAGGGCCGCGCUCGAGCAGCGUUCAUGAGGAGAAUUUACUUUGAAGAGAAAAGGCAAAGUAAAAAAGAGGAGCUACAGAUGGGUAAAAGUCCAGAUGAUGCUGCCACUUGCAUUCAAAAGGUCUGGCGUGGGCACAGCCAGCGCAAGAAAACAGAGAGGCUGAGAGAGGAGGAAAUGAUAUUUCUGGGCAUGAGUCUGCCUCCUGACUUGGAGGCAAUGAGAUGUUUGCAGAAAGCAAAUGUCCUGCAAGGUGAAGUCCAGGAAAGAGCAGACUUCUCCUUCAGGCAUGAGCUGAAGAGAACAGAGGGGCCCCACAUCAAGGAAACCCUCCAGGACCAGAUCACCCAGUGCUUCCUUGAGUGCCGGCAUAUCACGGGCAGGUUUCCUGACUAUCCCCCUGAGAAGACAGGUGGUUCCAAGGCUAUUUUUAUUGAAAAACAUCCAGAGCAGGUCCUUGAAGAGCUGGCUGCCAAAAAGGCAAAGGCAGAGGCAGAGAAACAAGCAAAGGAGAAGAAGGGAAGAGAAGCCAAGGAAACUGCCCAAGAGAAAAAGCCACCCAAAGUUGGAAAGCCGGUAGUGGAUGAACGCUGGAAAAUGGGUCCAAGCAAUUUCCUUUUGACACUGGAGGAAGGAAGCUCUCAGUACCAAGUCUUUUGGGAGAACAGAGAUAACAGAUCGGAUUUUCUCCAGGAUCAUGACCCAGAGCUGAUCAAAGGAGAGGAACGGGAAGAAGUGGAGGAGGAGAUCAGAGUGCAGGUCGAUGAAGUGAUGCAGGAGAAGCUGCUGAGAGUCAAACAGGCUGUGGAUGGAGAGACAGGUCCUCAGAGCAAAGCUGUCAAAGAGAAGGGAGACAGGACACCUGCAAAGAAAAAGAUAUCUGAGCUGGAGAAAGAUCUGACUCCUGACAGGGCCAUUGAGUCCCUGUACCAGGAACUUGCAGAAGAAGGAUUGCUCAUCCAAGUCAAGAAUGUGAAUCUCUCUGACUACAUUGGCUACUACGACUGUCUGAGGAGCAUCCUUCGUGACACAGGUGCCCAGCCCCUGCCCUCCAUCCCAGAAGUCAGACAGCUCGUGGCACUCUAUGGAAUAUUGCCCUUGGGUUCCCAAACUGUCCAUGAGAAUGCUCCUCUGGUGAAAUCCCUGCUGCUGGCAGGACCUGCUGGUGUUGGAAAGAAAAUGUUGGUCCAUGCCAUCUGCACAGAAACAGGAUCCAACCUCUUCAGCCUCACUCCUUCCAACACUGGGAAGUAUCCAGGCAGGGAUGGCCUCAUCAUGAUGCUUCACAUGAUUCUCAAGGUGGGCAAGGAAUUGCAGCCUUCAGUCGUGUGGAUUGGAGACACAGAGAGAGCAUUUUCCAAAGGGGCACCAAAGGGAGAAGAAGAGGUGAACUUCAAACGCCUGGCAAAGCUCCUGCCGCAGUUCCUGAGGGUUCUGAAACCCAAGGACAGAGUUCUGCUCGUGGGCACCUCCCGCAGGCCCUUUGAUGCCAAUCUGGGACCUUUCUGCAAAGUUUACCAGAAAAUCAUUCUCAUCCCCAAGCCUGGCUACCUGACAAGAUUUGCUCUGUGGAAGCACUACAUCCUGCAGCGUGGUGGGGCCCUCACCAAGCUGCUGAACCUCAACUGCCUGGCCCAGGUGUCGGAUGGCUUCACCCAGGGACACGUGGUGGACGUGGUGCACACUGUGCUGACUGAGCUGAGGCUGCUGCAGAUGGACAGGAAGCCACUGAGGACUGCUGAGUUUGUCACUUCUCUGGCCAGGCACGACCCAGUGUACAAAGAGGAGGAAGAAACCUUCCAGGCCUGGUAUGCCAAGACCCCACUGGGGAAAGCAUGGAGCACAGCACAGGCAGCAAAGGAAGAAGAAAAAGAAAAGAAAGGAAAAGGGAAAGGGAAAAAGUAACUUCCUCAAGGAUUUUUCACCUGGCCAUACAGUCACAACUCUAUUUCUUUGUGAAGACAUGGCAGAUUAAUGUUAUAGAAUUCCUGUGUGGACUUGACAGCAGAUACCUGGAAAGACACAGCCCACCAUCCCCAGGGAGCUGAGGAACCUUUCUGUACCUGCAUCAACAGCAAGCUGGGCAGCACUGCUGGGAAAAGCUGCUGGCAAGGGGAUGGGAUUGAGCCCCUCCUGCUCCUAAGAGGGAACCAAAUGGAAAAAGGCAUUCCUGGGAACAGAAAUGCCUGAGAAAAAUGGCCUGGGAGGAUUCCUGCGUGUAACUAAAUGCACAGGAACUUAUUUGAGCAGUUGUGUCACUGUGCACAGUGGAGGGAACUGGAUGGGUCUGGUUAAUAAAGGGAAUUUUCUCCCUGUAGGCUAUCCCAGCACACAGGAUGGAGCCACCCCAGUCUGGGAUUUCUGUGGUCCCUCCUAGCUCUAUUUUACAGUCUGGUACAGGGCUCCCCAUGAUUUCACCCUUCCAACCUCAAGGCUGCACCUCCAGCCCCACCAAGGAGCUCCAAGCAAUAACAGAGGGAAUUCUUGCUCCAUCUCCCCUGUGCAACCCCUCAGGACAUUCCUGAUGGGCACCAGCCCUUCCCCCAGCAGUAAUCCAGCUGCUGGAUCUCCACACUAGGGGCUGCCAGCCCAUGGCUUCAAUGCAUUGCAACAUGCAGCUGCAAACAUCAGCUUCCCACCCCUUAUUCUUUGGAGCAGGCUGUGGGUGCCCAAACUCAGCAGCACAACCCAGUGUGAUCAAACAAGGCACUUUUAACUUCAUCCUUGGGGAGAAAAGCCAGGCUCUCCAAAGAGCUGACAGGGCUGGUGUUUAAAAACCCCUCAUCUCUGCUCUCAUGCACAAGGAAACUAAUUUGGGUAAUUCUGCCCUCAAUCUUGCCGACAGCAGAGCCCUCCUCUGCACACCAGGGCUGACAGCAGGGCUGGGGUGAUGGAAGGACCACAUUUCAGGAGGAUGUAAGCAAGCCCAUUAACUCAUAUUUCAGCUGCCUCCCUGCAAUCUCAACAGCAAAGCAAAAGCAGCUGACUGGCAACAUCCAUCUCCAGGGCACGGCGCCCAGCCUGUGCAGGGAGGAUGCUGAGCUUCCUCAGACUUGCAGGUUUCAACCAGUAGGCACCAGGUCAUGGGGGGAAAAAAAACAAAAACCAAACAAAACCAACCAAACAAAAAAA